rnacentral:lncRNA from 1 species
AUGAAAGCCAAACGACCAAAAUCCAGGAAGAGUGCUCAGUUCGUGGAUUUUCUCAUUUGCUUUCGUAGAUAUGAGAGAUUGUGUUGCUCAGGUGUUCAAGCUGGCACUGAGUGUAACCCCCAUGGUGGCAAGCUCCCCUGCUCCUUUCAGGUGUUUUGCUGGUGGGAUCAUCCAUGUUGCAGGAGACUCUCUGAGCCCCAGCAAGGGAGAAGUGAUGGGAGCACUUGCACCGUUUACCUGUGCCUCAGAGCAGCCACAGCAAGGGACCAGGACAGGCUGAUGCACCAAGGACACAUUGACUUGCUCACCUCCUGCACUGUUGGAAUUAGUUUUGCAGUUAAUAUACGCACUGAUGUCAAAUAA